UACGGAGGGAGCAAGCGUUACUCGGAAUUAUUGGGCGUAAAGGGCGCGUAGGCGGUUUGAUAAGUCUUGUGUGAAAGCCCCGAGCUUAACUCGGGAAGUGCACAAGAAACUGUUGAAUUUGAGUUCCGGAGAGGAAGGCAGAAUUCCCGGUGUAGCGGUGAAAUGCGUAGAUAUCGGGAGGAAUACCAGUGGCGAAGGCGGCCUUCUGGACGGAUACUGACGCUGAGGCGCGAAAGCCAGGGGAGCAAACGGG
rnacentral:rRNA from 1 species